GACGAACGCUGGCGGCGUGCUUAACACAUGCAAGUCGAACGGUGAAGCGCCUUCCUUUUUGGUGGGUGUGGAUGAGUGGCGAACGGGUGAGUAACACGUGAGUAACCUGCCCCCUUCUUCUGGAUAACCGCAUGAAAGUGUGGCUAAUACGGGAUAUUCUGGGUCUGUCGCAUGAUGGGUCUGGGAAAGAUAUUGUUUCGGUGGGGGAUGGGCUCGCGGCCUAUCAGCUUGUUGGUGGGGUGAUGGCCUACCAAGGCGGUGACGGGUAGCCGGCCUGAGAGGGUGGACGGUCACACUGGGACUGAGACACGGCCCAGACUCCGACGGGAGGCAGCAGUGGGGAAUAUUGCACAAUGGGCGCAAGCAUGAUGCAGCGACGCCGCGUGAGGGAUGGAGGCCUUCGGGUUGUGAACCUCUUUCGCCAGUGAAGCAGGCCUGCCUCGUUUGUGGGUGGGUUGACGGUAGCUGGAUAAGAAGCGCCGGCUAACUACGUG
rnacentral:rRNA from 1 species